rnacentral:rRNA from 1 species
UACGUAGGGUGCAAGCGUUAAUCGGAAUUACUGGGCGUAAAGCGUGCGCAGGCGGUUUUGUAAGUCUGUCGUGAAAUCCCCGGGCUCAACCUGGGAAUUGCGAUGGAGACUGCAAGGCUAGAAUCUGGCAGAGGGGGGUAGAAUUCCACGUGUAGCAGUGAAAUGCGUAGAGAUCCGGAGGAACACCAGCGGCGAAGGCGGCAUCCUGGACUGGUACUGACGCUCAGGAGCGAAAGCGUGGGGAGCGAUCCGG